AUUGAACGCUGGCGGCAGGCUUAACACAUGCAAGUCGAACGAGUGGCGGACGGGUGAGUAAUGUAUGGGGAUCUGCCCGAUAGAGGGGGAUAACUACUGGAAACGGUGGCUAAUACCGCAUACCAUCAGAUGAACCCAUAUGGGAUUAGCUGGUAGGUAAGGUAACGGCUUACCUAGGCGACGAUCCCUAGCUGGUCUGAGAGGAUGAUCAGCCACACUGGGACUGAGACACGGCCCAGAUUCCUACGGGAGGCAGCAGUGGGGAAUAUUGCACAAGGGGCGCAAGCCGGAUGCAGCCAUGCCGCGUGUAUGAAGAAGGCCUGCGGGUUGUAAAGUACUGUCAGUCGGGAGGCGUUACCGACAGAAGAAGCACCGGCGAACUCCGUGCCAGCCGCCGCGGUAAUAC
rnacentral:rRNA from 1 species